UUGAAUGAGAACUCUGUGAAGGCAGGAAUGUUGUCUAUUUUGUUCCCUACAAUGUUUCCAGCAUCUGAAACACUUGUUGGUACCUCGACACAGCCAUCAUGCUUUGAGGAAGCCCAAGAGUCUGUGGAGAGGCCUAUAGCCAGCAACAACUUAUCAGCCAUGUGUCCUAAAGAGAAUCUUCCAUUGCCCUCUGGAGAGUGUCUCAGAAGCCGAGUAGCAGCUACAGCUCUCAUUCAAAAUGAGAAGUCACUGAAAUAAAGUUUCUAUGCCAAC